ensembl:snoRNA
AUCCUUUCUUGGUUCCUGAGUAUGAUGAUUGGGUUUUCACGCUAUUGUGUGGAAUGUGCCUGGCUUGAAUCUUGUUACCACGCGGCACAUUACUGUCUGUCG